rnacentral:rRNA from 1 species
GUUCCUACGGGACGCAGCAGUGAGGAAUAUUGGUCAAUGGCCGAGAGGCUGAACCAGCCAAGUCGCGUGAGGGAAGACGGCCCUACGGGUUGUAAACCUCUUUUGUCGGGGAGCAAAGCGAACCACGUGUGGUUCAUUGAGAGUACCCGAAGAAAAAGCAUCGGCUAACUCCGUGCCAGCAGCCGCGGUAAUACGGAGGAUGCGAGCGUUAUCCGGAUUUAUUGGGUUUAAAGGGUGCGUAGGCGGAAGGUUAAGUCAGCGGUCAAAUGUCGGUGCUCAACACCGGCCUGCCGUUGAAACUGGUC